rnacentral:rRNA from 1 species
UUUCGCAAUGCCCGAAAGGGUGACGAAGCGACGCCGCGUGCGGGAAGAAGGCCUUCGGGUUGUAAACCGCUGUCGGGAGUUAAGAAAUGCAAGGGUGUUAACAGCAUCCUUGCUUGACUAAGGCUCCGGAGGAAGCCACGGCUAACUCUGUGCCAGCAGCCGCGGUAAUACAGAGGCGGCAAGCGUUGUUCGGAAUUAUUGGGCGUAAAGAGCACGUAGGCGGCUGUGUAAGUCGGUUGUGAAAGCCUUCCGCUCAACGGGAGAACGGCAUCCGAUACUGCAUGGCUUGAGUGCGGGAGGGGAGAGUGGAACUUCUGGUGGAGCGGUGAAAUGCGUAGAUAUCAGAAGGAACACCGGCGGCGAAGGCGACUCUCUGGCCCGUAACUGACGCUGAGUGUGCGAAAGCUAGGGGAGCAAACGGGAUUAGAUACCCCGGUAGUCCUAGCCGUAAACGAUGGGCACUAAGUAGAGGGGUUUU